rnacentral:rRNA from 1 species
UAGCUAACGCGUGAAGUCAGCCGCCUGGGGAGUACGGUCGCAAGAUUAAAACUCAAAGGAAUUGACGGGGACCCGCACAAGCGGUGGAUGAUGUGGAUUAAUUCGAUGCAACGCGAAAACCCUUACCUACCCUUGACAUGUCACUAACGAAGUAGAGAUACAUUAGGUGCCCGUAAGGGAAAGUGAACACAGGUGCUGCAUGGCUGUCGUCAGCUCGUGUCGUGAGAUGUUGGGUUAAGUCCCGCAACGAGCGCAACCCUUGUCUUUAGUUGCUACGCAAGAGCACUCUAAAGAGACUGCCGGUGACAAACCGGAGGAAGGUGGGGAUGACGUCAAGUCCUCAUGGCCCUUAUGGGUAGGGCUUCACACGUCAUACAAUGGUGCAUACAGAGGGUUGCCAACCCGCGAGGGGGAGCUAAUCUCAGAAAAUGCAUCGUAGUCCGGAUCGUAGUCUGCAACUCGACUACGUGAAGCUGGAAUCGCUAGUAAUCGCGGAUCAGAAUGUCGCGGUGAAUACGUUCCCGGGUCUUGUACACACCGCCCGUCAUACCAUGGGAGUGGGUUUUGCCAGAAGCCGUUAGCCUAACCGCAAGGAGGGCGACUGCCACGGCAGGGUUCAUGACUGGGGUAAAGUCGUAACAAGGUAGCCGUAUCGGAAGGUGC